rnacentral:misc_RNA from 1 species
AGAGUCUUUCAAUUGUAGUUUUGAAUGAUUUUCUGUAUUUAGAUGUUUCCAGAAAUGCAAAUGAAAACAUGAAGUUCUUCAUUUCAAUCAAAGAAGAUAAAGUUUCUUGUUCUCCAAAUUUAGUUCUUGAUUCUUGAACACUAUAAAACUCGAGGUCAAGUAAUUCCACUAACACAAUAUAAAAUACACUAAGUCACAAUAGAAUUUAAAUUUUGUUAAAUCAACAUUAUAGUGUGAGGUUUGGUUAACUGACCUCACUCAUUUGAAAGGUAGGAGCAAGACUAAGAAACAUUAGCAAGUUGUCUAAGGAGCAAGGACAACAAUAACAAACCAUGAUAUACAAAGAAUAUUUCCAUUUUGAAUUCCAAUUCCAUAAAAAGUAGGAAUCAAAACUUAAAAUAAAAGGCCAAAGAUAUUUUGAACACUUCUCUAAAUUUGUCAAGGCAACAUGAGGAUUUUGUAUGCGCUAACUACAUUUUCAUGCAAUUAGAUAAACAACAUCCUAGGAAAACUGUAAAUAAAGUGUCAUAGACAUGAGAAAAAAUUACUAAAAUGAA